rnacentral:lncRNA from 1 species
UUAUCCACUCACACACUUUCAAUAUCUCUUGCGAUGUUUUAUAAAAUGAGAAAGGGAGGGUGCAUGGGCAAUGAAAGAAAGAAGAGAUAAGGGGUGUGGGGAGGUUCUGAAAAAAUUUUGAAGUGUUCAAAAUUUACCGAGAGGAGAGAAAAAGGAGAGAGAAGUGGGCGCAGGGUUUUUGGUGUGUACCCUAGGAUUUCUACCUAGGGUUCGGGAAGUG